rnacentral:rRNA from 1 species
AUACGGAGGAUCCGAGCGUUAUCCGGAUUUAUUGGGUUUAAAGGGAGCGUAGGCGGACGCUUAAGUCAGUUGUGAAAGGUUGCGGCUCAACCGUAAAAUUGCAGUUGCUACUGGGUGCCUUGAGUACAGUAGAGGUGGGUGGUAUUCGAGGUGUAGCGGUGAAAUGCUUAGAUAUCACGAAGAACUCCGAUUGCGAAGGCAGCUCACUGGACUGCAACUGACACUGAUGCUCGAAAGUGUGGGUAUCAAACAGGAUUAGAUACCCUGGUAGUCCACACAGUAAACGAUGAAUACUCGCUGUUUGCGAUAUACAGUAAGCGGCCAAGCGAAAGCAUUAAGUAUUCCACCUGGGGAGUACGCCGGCAACGGUGAAACUCAAAUGAAUUGGCGGGG